UGCCCCUUUUUUAGGUACUACGGAAAUAAAUGCAAUUAGACCAUUUGUCAUCAAGAAGAACAAGUACAUAACAGCAGAAGAGAACAGACCUGCAGCUGGUGUGGCCACAUUAGCAGGAGACUCAGAGAAGCCUUUAAGGUUGACUUGAGCAAGUUCCAAGGGCCAGCAACUGAAGGUGAACGCUGAUUCUUUCCUGGCUUCUUCGCAUUUUUUGGAAUUGAAAUGGAUUAAAUACCAUGAGUAAUUUGGAAGUUCUCUGGAGGCAAGUGAACAUCAGAGAUGCCUUGUUCCACCUGGGCUGCACAUGGGACUGGCGCUCACUCCUCCAGGUGGAUCCACAUUCAUCCAACGUGUGUAAUAACAACAACCAGCUUUGCCCCAGGAGGCCAGCUCUGCGUCUUUCUC